UAUCCUUUCAGUUAUCAGCUACAGACACUCCUCAUGAAACAACCAAACAUAAACCAGAGAAUUGAUGACGGAGAUGGAGGGCAUAGAGCACAGAACAGUCCAAGUCAAUGGCAUAAACAUGCACAUAGCCGAGAAAGGCCAGGGCCCACUCAUCCUCUUCCUCCACGGCUUCCCCGAGCUCUGGUACUCCUGGCGCCACCAGAUCACAGCCCUCGCCUCCCUCGGCUACAGAGCCGUCGCGCCGGACCUCCGCGGCUUCGGCGACACCGACGCCCCCGAUUCGCCCACGAGCUACACCUGUCUCCACGUGGUCGGAGACCUCAUCGCCCUCCUGGACGCCAUAGCCCCCGACCAGGACAAGGUGUUCGUGGUGGGCCACGACUGGGGCGCUUACUUAGCUUGGUUACUCUGCCUGUUCCGGCCCGACCGGGUCAAAGCCUUGGUCAACCUGAGCGUGGCUUUCAUGCCUAGAAACCCUCAGAGGAAGUUCAUUGAAUCUAUGAAAGCUGUUUAUGGGGAUGACUAUUACAUGUGCAGAUUUCAGAUUGCUGUGAGGGGUUACGGUAGAUAUACUCAGUAUGAACAUUUCGAAAUACACCACUUGUUGGGUCAUCAUGACCCAUUGAGUGAUUCCCAACGAGUGGUAUUUCGAGGAUUUUGUACUGGAGCCAGGAGUUAUGGAAGCUGAGUUUGCCAAGCUUGGUACUGCAAGAGUUAUGAAGGAAUUUCUAACAUAUCGCAAUCCUGGUCCACUUUUCCUGCCUAAAGAUAAAAUGUUUGGACAUCCCCAAGAUGCUCCAAUCGUCUUGCCGAGUUGGUUGUCUGAGGAUGACGUCAACUACUAUGCUAGCAAAUUUGAGAAGACAGGAUUCACUGGGGCCUUAAACUACUACAGAAACUUGGACCUAACUUGGGAGCUCACUGCAGCAUGGACCGAGGUUCAAGUGAAAGUUCCAGUUAAGUUCAUUGUGGGAGACCAGGACCUAGUUUAUAAUUCUCUUGACGCCAAGGACUUCAUACACAAAGGUGGGUUCAAGAAAUAUGUGCCGCUUCUCGAAGAGGUAGUUGUAAUGGAAGGAGUCGCCCAUUUUAUCAACCAAGAAAAGCCUGAUGAAAUCAGCAAACACAUUCAUGACUUCAUCGUUAAAUUUCACUAAUUAGCUGUCUAUAUAUAUUUGUUGUAUGCUGCUGCUGUUUCAAACUCUCUUUUAUGCAUUUCUUGUGUGACUUUGAAGUGUUCUGUAUUCUGAGAAGGGAAUUCUUCAACAGAGGUUUUCUGGUUUCAAUAUUUUCA